AGAGUAGGCUAGCUGGCUGAGAAAGGAGUUGGAGUUUGUUGGUUGUGCUGUGAAGGGGAAGAAGGAGUAAGUGCUGUGAGGAGAUGCCUGUGAGACAUCACAGAGAAGAUGGAGAAAGGAAGCAUGAUUUUCGGCAGAAAUUUAUUGAUUGGAUCAUGUAAUAAGUUUCCCUGUGCUACUUAAACGGUAGUUCCUCAGUUUUGAACAGCAAGAGAUUGAAAAACAGGCUUCUGGGAAUGGAAUUGUAUUUAGAAGAAGGAAUUCUCAAAGUCUACAACAAUGCAGUUCUAGCCCUCCUCUACUUGGGUGUAAUGAGACCUGUUUUACUAACUGCCUCUGUCAGUCAUAUUUCCCUGUAGUAAUUUUAGAACACACUGAUUAGUUUUGGACAUGGUUUAAAACCAGUACAGUUUUCAAAGCUCUAUUUUCAAAGAUUCCUACAUAUUUUCUGAGAAGAAUACCUGAGUAUGGCAGAGAUAAAAACCAGUGACCUCUGCUGAGAGGAAAAACAAACAGAAACUAGUUCCUGAUAUACCUGGAGAGGCUCAUCAGUGUGUUUAUUUAUCUUUGGGUUACCCACCGUGUUCCUCUCUUUUUGUGUGAUGGAGUUGUUUUGGAGAAUUGACUUGACUCAUUUGAGGCAUAGAGGGAACAUGCAGUAUUGAACAGGACAACUAAGGACCAAAGUGCUUGUGUCUUACACUUCAUGGUACAAAAGUAUAAAAAGUUUUGCCUUUCCCAUGAAACCUUACCUAAAUGGUCAGAUAAAAAGAUAGUGCAUCAGUGGCAACAUUCAGUUUUGUUGUUUUCUUUUUUUUCUUGUAAUAAAGAUGAGUUAGAAUGAGCAGUCUUCUGCUGUUCCUGAACCAUGCUUAGGGUAAUUUGUCUUCUGAGGCUUGUGACUAAUGGCUUAAACAUGACAACAUUCACAAGUGUUUAUUUCCAUUUUGCAGAUUUAUAAGGGAACUAAAUCUGUUCUAUGUAAACAAAGCAAGAUGAAAUCCAUGUUUAUGAUCUAUGUAUAAAAAAAUGUAAGGAGAAGAAAAAAAGGAAAGAAAGCUCAUAAAAUUGUCUUAGGGCCAUAGCACUUUCACUUUGAAAACAAGCAUAAAGUCUGGAAGUUAAAAGCUUGCCUCAGGCAUAGUGCAGAAUAUCAUGAGGCAAAUUCAGAAGCUAGAAACCUCAGUCUUGGAUCUCUUUUAUAUGUGGAGUCAGUCUAAUAUGGCAGCAGUGUCCUCUUUCACAAUAAAGUAAGUUGUAUUGAACACUGGUUAA